CAGGCUCUCCACAGAAGCGGUUGAGGAUUGGAGAAGAGGUUGCAGAUGAUCAAGGAGCGACACGUGCAGGGAUGGCUUGAAAAGGGUAUGGCUGCUUUCUCUUCUGUUUAUCAGGUGUCCCAGGCAACGUGGGCUGUGAUGUUAGUUCUUGAGAAUUGGAACGAAGCAGGUGCUGAUUGCGGUCUUCUUUGGUAAGCAAAGUGGUGCCCAAAGCCCUGUCCUGUGUAGCCUGAGCACGCCUCUCUGAGGAUGAAGCUUGCUUUCCAGCAGUUCCCAAAGCUGUUGAAGCUGAAAUGCUGCGUCUGUUUUUUUUGUGUUGGGGUUGCACCUUGGUGAGUGCAGGGAUGGGUUUUAAGUGGGUGCAGCAGAGGGCCUGGCCCCAGUGUCCUGUAGUGUGUUUUGACCCACCAGCAUAGCCACUUGGUUCUCAGAUAUCCUACUGAAGUAAGUGAUUUUUCCUGUGAGUGGAAUGGAAUUGUUUUUUUUUUUUUUUUGGCAUGUAAUCACUUCUGCUCCUAGAUUUUUCUUUCUACGUAAAUAAAAGAUACUAAGAAAAAGAAAAGGUACGUUGUUUUGGGGAAACCGUGGGGUAGGGUUCCUUGGCCACAUAAGUGCAGUAGUGCCUAGAGAGUGAGCAGGGUCACCUCCUUCUUCUCUGCAGAAUAAGGCUGCCCGGCCCCAUUUCGGCACGGCGCCCCCCGGGCCCAUUUGUCAUGUGGAGCUACUGAGCAGGUGGAGUGGAUGAUACUGGUUUCACUGUUGGACCUUGGACUCGGAGAGGAACACGUGAGCACAAUCCUGAUGAUGAGCCUGGCAAUUGACCAAGAUGACAAUUGGUGCCUGUGCAUUUCUUGAGGCGGAGGGACUUUACCAUGCAGCAACCUGAGAGCUAAGUUGGAGGGCGCCUGCUCCCUUGCUGGCUGCAGCAGUAUAUUUUGCCCGUAAUUCUGCGUGUGAAGAUCUGAAUGAAGACAACGGAGUCGUAAGUGUUUAAAGCGUAUACUGUUCUGUUGGAUGGGUUUUGGUUGCCUGUGUGUGUAAGAGUGUGACUGAGACGGAAUUUAGUUCCGAAGCGAUUGUGGAGGUCUUCUUUACCACGGUUCCAAUCUCCCGCGAGGGACUUGGCCGAUGAAGGACCGAAGGGAUUCCCAAAGGAUUUGUGGGUGGGUGAUAGAUCUUAAAUCCUCUUUAAGACACUCUUAUUAAGGUAACCAAGGGCUGUGGGAAUUGCCAGAGUAACAUUCCUAGAUGGGUGAGACAAAACCGAAGACCAGGGACCAGAAGAAAGGGAGCAAAUUACCAGACAUACCACCAGAAAGUCCAUUAGGAAUAACAGUUAGAAACUGGAACGAGAGAGGCCCCAGUAACGUAAAAAGUAAAUAAAAAAUGGUUCAGUCUUGUGUGAUAGAAUGGCCAAAGGAGCCUUUAAGACCGCAUGUCUUUCGGCCCGUUUUUGGAUCCUUUGAAGACUGUAUUUGUCAGGCCUUAAAUACACAUGUUAAUUCGAAGGAACCUUUCUGCCGGGAAGAAAGUGAUGAUGCAGGAUUAUGGAUCAGGAGGACUUCAUGUCCUUUUACAGCCUUAAUAUUUACACUAAAAGCAGGUAAGAAAUUUUGAAGAAGAAGAAGAACAGGAAAAAUAAAAAGAUAAUAAACGGGAGCCGUUGGAUAACCUA